GUGUUCGCUUCGGCAGCACAUAUACUAAAAUUGGAACCAUACAGAGAAGAUUAGCAUGGCCCCUGCGCAGAACGGACUUACUAUAUUCCUGUUAUUCAUUAUC